UUGAACGCUGGCGGAAUGCUUUACACAUGCAAGUCGAACGGCAGCACGGGGGCAACCUUGGUGGCGAGUGGCGAACGGGUGAGUAAUGUAUCGGAACGUACCCAGUCGUGGGGGAUAACUAUCCGAAAGGAUAGCUAAUACCGCAUACGUCCUGAGGGAGAAAGCGGGGGAUCGCAAGACCUCGCGCGAUUGGAGCGGCCGAUAUCGGAUUAGCUAGUUGGUGAGGUAAAGGCUCACCAAGGCGACGAUCAGUAGCGGGUCUGAGAGGAUGAUCCGCCACACUGGAACUGAGACACGGUCCAGACUCCUACGGGAGGCAGCAGUGGGGAAUUUUGGACAAUGGGGGCAACCCUGAUCCAGCCAUUCCGCGUGAGUGAAGAAGGCCUUCGGGUUGUAAAGCUCUUUCAGCUGGAACGAAACGGUAGUCUCUAACAUAGGCUGCUAAUGACGGUACCAGCAGAAGAAGCACCGGCUAACUACGU
rnacentral:rRNA from 1 species